AUGACAGUAUAAAAGGGGGAGACAGAGACACUGCAUUCGGAGUUGUCGGGGAGUUUCUUGGAGCUUUCCACGGGCCUAACACGGGGUUAAGCCUACCAGAGUUCUUUGAGGACAUCGUUGGAUGCAAAGUUUUUCGGACUUUGUUCAAGAAAAGAAGACCAAGCUCUGCUGAUGAAGAAAGUUCCAGUCAGUCUGCAGUUUCACUAAGAAGAGUAAGAGAGAAGAACAGCCGCUGUACCCAAGAAGAAGAAGAAGGCAACGGAGACGGCAGCUGGGAGUUGCUCUCACCCAGAGAGACGGGAGAGUCAGGGACUUUCCACCACAACUCGUCUGCCUGGGUUAUCUGGGUUUUCUUACCACUGUUCCAGCCUCUGCUUCUGAAGACAUCUGCACGGCCAAGAUUGGGUUUUUGGGACUUUUUCUACUCCCCUUGCUGAGGAAGGACACUUUUUGGACUGAAAGAGACUUUGUACGGGGUUUCCAGAUCCAUUGCUGAGUUCGUCCAGACGCAGGCUGCAGAGAUAUGAGCUGCUGCAGCAAAAAAUAAGAAGCGAUGCUACGGUCGCAGAGCUGGAGGACAUCAUGACACCAGGUGGAACUGCAACAGAUUCUCUUUAACUGUAGCAACAGAGCCAAAAUGAGGCACAGCCUCAUCCACUGAACAGUGUGGGAAAAAUUAUGAAAACAAGAAUGGGAGCAUCUGUGCGCCCUCUGUUGUGACAGGAAGCAUUAAAGUAUUGUUUGUAUUCUCUCGACACCUCGACUGAUGCUGACAAAACUUGUUUUGGGGUGAAAACCAACUGCUGCACAGGAAAAAACAUCUACUCAGCUCAGGUUGUCAUAGAGAACAGCCUGUUUGAAGCUCGCUCAACAACACACACGUACACACCAUGCUGAGCUAAACAAGACAACACAAAAACUGUUUCCUCUACCCGCCCUCCAGCAUCUCUCACAACACACCUGCACUCACAAAACACACAACACCACCUACCACUUCCCAUGACUUGGAGACCACCCACAAUGCCAUGGCAACCAUCUCCUGAAAGCCAAGGCCCGAGUUAAUGGACCUCUGACUAAGUGUCAAACUGGCAGUGGGGAAUUCCUCGGCAGGACUGUGUUCAGUCACCGGGACCGAGGAAGGAGAAAGGAGGAAUGAAACGACAGCGACAGAUGGUGAGAUCCCUCCCCAAGAGCCCAAAACAACAAUGGCGGUGAUUCUAGCGACACAUCAAGGAGUCGUUCUGAAAAUGUAUAACAGACACUCAAGCAUAAAAUCAUUUUGUGGGCCUGAGAGAGAGGAAAAAAUGGCUCCGAAGUGAUUUAUAUGGCCUCUCCAAUACAAACCAACAACACGAACAGUUUGAAGGUCAGAAGAAUCUGAUAACAUGAUGUAGGAAAGAUUGAAGGAGAAAGGUAAGGAAGCACUGAAAGGCUGACUCAUAUACAACCAAAGUCCCUUUUGUUGUGAAGUCAAAGAAAAACAGGAAGAUAAUAUGUUUGCAGGUUGAACUGGCAACCUGUCUUGGGUGCACCCUGCCCCUUGCCUCAUAUCAGCUGGGAUAGGCUCAGUUACUGUCAGUAAAAAAGUAUCACCUUACACAUACUGUAUCUAGUUUCACAUAAUGUAAUACAUAAAAUUUGCAUUGCAGUGCAGAGUUGUGCAAAAAAUAACAUUUUUUUUACUUCGAGGAAGCCUCUGUGGAAGGUAAAUACAUUUAUUUUCCCAGCUAUCAGCUCAAGGUUUAGGAUAAAUUAGACAUCAAGUCUACAGUUACUUAUUUUUGCCAGUGUCUUGGAUGCAGGAGGAAUGAUCAGCCAUAAAGACUGGUCUGUUCACAACUUUGGUCCACACUCAAAUGUCCACGUGGCUCAUGACCACCAUUCAAGAGCUUGGUGAAACUUGCAUUUCAAUGACCCCCUUUGUCACUCCCUGGCUCCCAACGACCAUUGUUGAGGAGCCAGGUGGGUCUUGGCAAUGGUCGUCGGAAUGUGAAUAGCACUGACCACACCUCACAGAGGUUAUAAGCUGAGGCAACAUCAACCACCACCAGAACUGAAGAAGCCUCUUGGAUGAGAGGUGAAAUGUCUUCAAGGAACUUUCUUAAAGUCCAGUUGGAUUGAUUUAAACAACUUUAGAUAAGGGUAAACAGCAACUGAAAAUACAACAAAAGCAUGGUCCUACAAGAGGCUUGAACAUUCUUAUGUGUAAAAUAAAAGACAAAGUUAACUCUCGAAUAAUGAAAUAUAAAACUUCGAGUGGCAGAAUAGUAGUAGUGAAGAAUGUAAGCCUCUGACAAUUUUACCUUUCCACACUUUUUUUUAAUUGGUAGUUUGUUUGCAGUGGUGGAGUAUGCAUUAUUAUUUGAAUUCUUUUCAAGAGAUAUGUCUGAUGGAAUGAAGAAGCCACAAAAAAGUGGAAUAGGGAGAUUUAAGGUGAAGGCUAAUGAUGACUUGUGUGUUCAGUUGUCUGUCUCUGUGACCUGAACGCCACCUUUCUGCCUGAUCAAAGCAAAAGGGCUUAAAGCUCAGAACUGUUGGCUCAGGUUGAUCAAGCAAAGGUCAUGGGUAUACACUACCAGUCAAAAGUUUGGACACGCCUUCUCAUUCAAUGCUUUUUAUUUAAUUGUAUUAUUUUCUACAUUGUAGAUUAAUACUGAAGAUGAACACUUUUUUGUUUACAACAUAAUUCCAUAUGUUCUUUUAUAGUUUUGAUGUCAUCAGUAUUACUCUCCAAUGUAUAAAAUGAAUAAAAACCAUUGAAUGAGAAGGUGUGUCCUAACUUUUGAUUGUUAGUGUAGUUGAGGGUUGGGUUGAAGCCCUUGAGUCCAGAGUUUUGCAUUCAGAAUCCAAUACCAGUGCUGACUUCACACCACUCCACAUGAUGAUCCAUUUUAUUUGUAGUCAUGGACAAGACCCUGCUCAAUCCAACUUCUAUGGAGGGGAAUCUACCAUAUAAAUGAAAUUUCGCUGUAUAUGAAAAUGUGCAAUGACCAAUAAAGAUUGAUUGAUAUCACAACAG